UCGCCUGAAAUAAAGACCCCUCCUCGAAGCUUCUUCUAUCUCUGCUCCCUUCACCGUCUUUUAGAUAUUAGUGCCACCGCUUAUCUUAGUUUUCUCCACAUCGCCGCUUCAAUCCAUCCUUCCAGUUUCAAAAAAAGCGACCGUCUCCCUCUCCAUCACCGGCAAACUCGAUGUCACGUUUUCUGUCUGCUUUCGUCAUCAUGUCGACGCGUAUUGCAACAAACACAUAUCUAGAAAUUUGCUAACAGUCGAAGAAGACGAUGAUGUCAGAGAGUAAGCGUUGUUCGCUACUUUUUCUUUGCUUGGUCGCUGCUUCCCUCUUCUUUUCCCUUCUUCAUCAAACCUUUCAGUUUCCUGAUUAACUUCUCCUCAACUGAAACCCUAAUUUUUUUUUGAUUGUUGAUUUAUGGUACAAAUGCCAGAAUAUAUGAAUGAUGGGGAGGAGUGAGGUCAACCGACCUCUGAUAUAAUUUGAAUCUAGCAAGAAAAAUUGAUCAAUAUCACUGAACUUUUCCAGAAAUUUUGGCAUUUGGGAAUUGGGCUCAUUUAAUAGAUAUCUGAAGAAACCGAUUGUGGCAAGCGACAGCUGUAUGGCUACCUGGCAACGAAAUGAGAUUUGGAUUUCUUCAAUCAGCAUUGUGAAGGGUAAUCAAAGGUUAGGUCACAAAUGCUAAGCGUAACAGCAGGAGUUGGGCCAACUCUAAGCCGAGGGACCAAAGUUGACAAAUCGUGAAACUGUGGUGGUGAAAAUCUGAAGUGCAAUUGGCCGAUUAUAUAUCUAUAUCAAUUCAAGAAUCAAACAAAUGAAAUGAAAUUUAAGAAUGGUAAGGUACAUUCAUUGUACAAUCUGGAUAUAUAUUUAAAUGGAUUUAAGAGUUCCAACUUAACAAAAUUUGUUAAGUAAACAAGUUAAUAUCUGGUUUAUCCGUUCAUUGAGUCAACGGAUAUAUUUAGUAACAUUUUAAGUGAAACUCCCUUUAUGUAUUUAACUAUUAUAGGAAUCCAUUACUCAUCUCCAAUAAUUUUACUAUUUUA